rnacentral:rRNA from 1 species
AUGAGGAGACGAAGGUGGAGCCGAUGGAGCGGAGGAUGCGUGUGCGGCUACGCUGUCGGCUCGGCAACUCGACCUAGCGCUUGCAGCAUCUUCCUCAUGCCGUCCCAAGCAGCCGGUGACCCAUCGUCUCUAUCAUGUGUCGUCUCCAUGGGAAUUAUUGUUGCGCAUGCCCAGGCCGCUGGGACUUUGUCAUGUCCGACCCGCGUCGUCACCAUGCGGAACUAUGGAGUACUGUCGCCUCGGGUAGGCUACCGCCGGCAGCGACGCGAUGAGGCGCUCAGCCCCUUCUUGAACUGCAAGAUGGCGAGCUCACGACAGCUCCAUCCUCUUCGCUGA